rnacentral:rRNA from 1 species
UACGAAGGGGGCUAGCGUUGUUCGGAAUUACUGGGCGUAAAGCGCGCGCAGGCGGCUAUCCAAGUCAGUGGUGAAAUCCUGGAGCUCAACUCCAGAACUGCCUUCGAUACUGGCGAUCUUGAGUCCGGAAGAGGUGAGUGGAACUCCUAGUGUAGAGGUGGAAUUCGUAGAUAUUAGGAAGAACACCAGUGGCGAAGGCGGCUCACUGGUCCGGUACUGACGCUGAGGUGCGAAAGCGUGGGGAGCAAACAGG